CUACGGGGGCAGCAGUGGGGAAUAUUGGACAAUGGGCGAAAGCCUGAUCCAGCCAUGCCGCGUGUGUGAAGAAGGCCUUCGGGUUGUAAAGCACUUUCAGUGGGGAAGAAAGCCUUGGGGCUAAUACCCUCGAGGAAGGACAUCACCCACAGAAGAAGCACCGGCUAACUCCGUGCACAGCAGCCGCGGUAAUACGGAGGGUGCGAGCGUUAAUCGGAAUUACUGGGCGUAAAGCGCGCGUAGGCGGUCUGAUAAGCCGGUUGUGAAAGCCCCGGGCUCAACCUGGGAACGGCAUCCGGAACUGUCAGGCUAGAGUGCAGGAGAGGAAGGUAGAAUUCCCGGUGUAGCGGUGAAAUGCGUAGAGAUCGGGAGGAAUACCAGUGGCGAAGGCGGCCUUCUGGACUGACACUGACGCUGAGGUGCGAAAGCGUGGGUAGCAAACAGGAUUAGAUACCCGGGUAGUC
rnacentral:rRNA from 1 species